rnacentral:misc_RNA from 1 species
CAUUGCUUGGCGCGCGGAGCUCGUUCAUGUAUCACCACUAACUCAAAUGGAAGGCGUCGGGUCGAAUGUCGCAAGGCGCAUCGGUGCUUGUGUGUGUACGUGACGCUUCGGCGUUAUUUCUCUGUGACCCACUCGUAGACCUCGAGCUGUCCGCCAGCGGCCGCGUGGCUGAUAUUUCGGCGCUGGCCGAUGCGUCCUCGCUGCGAAGGGCAGCGAUACACCGAGCAACUGUUCGCAUUACCAGCUCAGUGUUUGUGCCUCUCUCUCUCGCACAUAGAUGUGAGCGGAAACUCUGGCUUCAACGCGUGUGACGUCCGCCUAAAGACUCGGCGAGUGCGAGAUGCUCCAGCAGCCCGCCCUCCCUGCUGACCUAGUGUCUCCAGCUUAUCUUGAAUAAACCGGGAACCAUCCCUACAAGUGUUCUGCACUCGCUUUAGCGACGCGCGAGUUCUCAUGAGUCUUUACUUGUGUCCCGCGUUAGGUGAAAAAAGACGCUGAUGGCGGCACCGCUUUGCAGUCCUUCUUUCCACUUGCCGCGUCGCUGCCCCUGAGAUUUGUUCGCGUAUCCUCCAUCCGCACUGGCGAACUGAGCGACCUGUGUAAGGGUUCUCCACCCGGAGGAGGUCUUCCUUGACGUCUCCAUCUCCCUCACUCACUCACAAUCCAUCGCCCGCCCACCCAUGCACUAGCUCCUCGUCGUCAUGCUAAGCAGCAAGGAAUUCGCAGUGGGGACACAAAAAUAUACUGCAUGAGAAUCUGUCGCUCCUCAGAAGUGCAAGCGCUUCUCCGAUUUGUCUCUGCUUUUUGGGAGCCCAGCACUGAGAAUCAUGAAUACGAGUAGAGGCAGUUUUUUGCGUGUAUCUGGCGUUUAGAAGAGUCUUCGAACGAUACAUUCCCUGCGUCCCGGUAGCUAGACACAAGUGAACAGUGCGCAUGGUCAUCCUCGGUCUUCGCGUAGCGUGCAGAUUCUCUGGUAUGCAGCAU